rnacentral:rRNA from 1 species
GACGAACCGUGCGAACGUUAUUCGGAAUCACUGGGCUUAAAGCGCGUGUAGGCGGAUGGGAACGUCGGUCGCUGAAAGCCCCCGGCUCAACCGGGGAACGGGCGCCGAAACGACCCGUCUCGAGGGACGUAGGGGGACCUGGAACUUCCGGUGGAGCGGUGAAAUGCGUUGAGAUCGGAAGGAACGCCCGUGGCGAAAGCGAGGUCCUGGACGUCUACUGACGCUGAGACGCGAAAGCUAGGGGAGCGAACGGG